ensembl:lncRNA
AAAAAAAAGAUGUUUAAUGGCCCCGUGGCUGAGUGGUUAAGUUCUCACGCUCCCCUUCGGCGGCCCAGGGUUUCGCUGGUUCGGAUCCUGGGAGUGGACAUGGUACCGCUCAUCAGGCCAUGCUGAGGCAGCAUCCCACAUGCCACAACUAGAAGGACCUACAACUAAAAAAAAAUAUACAAUGCAGGGCCUGCCUGGUGGCGCAGCAGGGUGAAGUCCUAGGACCGGAAGUAUGCUAGGCAGGCUGCUGGGAAAGCAGAGGACUGGAGCGGCGAGGUCUGGAUCCUGCUUUUCUGUGGGAGAAUUACCAUCUGCCCUUUGCCAUUAUGAGGUCAUGGAAUCCACCCUCCUCCCUUACACACCCGGAUGCCUUCUUGGGAGAUGCAGAGGGAGGGGCGGAAGUCUUGCCGGUUGAGCACUUAAACUGAGUCAUCCAAGUAGAGACUGUUUACCUACAAAGACAUUUUAAAUUAUGGGAUUGAAUUGAGUUUAAUAAAUUGGACUCAAUCUUGUCCCCUCUCCCCUCCUGCUUCUACCCAGAAGAUGGGAGCUUGUAAGGUAAAUCAGAGCAGACUUAGAGAAAUAAGCAAGCUGCAUUUUUAGCCCAGCUGAGUACAUUGUGAGUAAAUUUGAAAGGUUGCCACCUAUGUAUAUAUUGCAUGCUCCUCUAUCCUCUUUUUGCUAUACACAACAAAAGCAUUGUUACUUUUUGAUUUUACAAAAAAGCAUGUCCUAUUUUCUUGUGAUUCCUGGUCUCCACCCGACACAUCUGUGCGCUUUCUACAAUGCUUUUAUCUAAUAAGAUCAAGCCGGCUGCAGACUCCAGUAGCAGGUACGAGAAGUACAACCACUGUGACUUUAGAUUUGUUGAUGUCUCCUUAGAGUUCUUUCAAUAUUUGCUUACUAUAUUUUGAGACUGUGUUAUUAGGUGCCAUUCACCAGAUGUAACCUGUUUCACCUACUUCUUAGCCCCCUUCGGUUUGGAUAGGGCCAUGUGUCUAAUUGUGGAGCAUUUGAUUGUGGAUGUGCAACUUUCCAGAGCUCUUUUUCCCCUCUGCUGUGGCGACUGGCAAAGUUUGAGAUGGUGGCUCAUCCAUCAGCCUGGGUUUCUGGGUCACUAUGGUGAGCAGAGCUCCCACGUGACCUGUGAUGGACAUUUGACAUGAGCAGGAAAUACAUCCUGUUGUCUGGGCUUGUUUGUGACCACAGCAGAACCUAGCCUAUCCUAUCUUAGAUAGGUGUUUUAAAGAAGGGAAGUGACUGCCCCAAGGUAUUUCUUCUAAAGAGGACACUGCACAGUGCUUUCUUCUAAUAGUUCAUCUCUUUAUAGGUGGAUGUUUUUUCACAGUGAAAGAAGUAAAAGACAAUUAGGAAAAUACAGGAAGCAAAAUGUAAAAAGAAAAUAAGAUCCAUAGUCCUAUUCUGCAGGCAUUACUAACAUUUCAAUAUAUUUUCUUUCUCUUAUUACUUUAGCAUAUGUAAUUUACACUUACUAUAGGAAUAUGAAAACAUACAUAUAAGCAAAAUGAAAAAAAACACCUUCUAACCCUACUACUCAAAGAUGACCAGCUACCUUUGGGAAGAAUAUCCUUUCAGACUUACAUUUAUGUAUAUAAACAUUCUUACCUUUUCCUAUUCUUUUAAGGGAUUUUUAAUGUAUGCACUCUUUUUAACCUGCAUUUUUUUCCUGCUUUUUCUCCCCAAAUCCCCCCAGUACAUAGUUGUAUAUUUUAGUUGUGGGUCCUUCUAGUUGUGGCAUGUGGGACACCGCCUCAAUAUGGGCUGAUGAGCGGUGCCAUGUCUGCACCCAGGAUCCGAACCAGUGAUACCCUGGGCCGCCAAAGCGGAGUGUGCAAACUUAAGCACUCGGGCACGUGGCCUGCCCCAGACCUGCAUUUUUUUUAACUUAGUAUACUGUGAACAUGUUGUCAAGUCAAUAAAAAUGGUUGUACAGC